AAGAACCAGGAGAGGAUCCUCCAAGCCUCCCUCAUUUUAAACCUCCAUCUUGAAUAUUGAUUAAACAGGAGAAAAAGGCCCACAGUAGGGCCGAAGAAGCCAGGAUAGGUAGUGGGGUGCCUGACAUUUGGCUCCUCACACUCAAUGAAAGGAGGUUAUUGGCUCUGGGUGGGAGGUCUGAUCCUGUAGAGAUGAAGGGAAUCCCUGUCCUGGCAACCAGAUACCAGCAGCACAUCCACGUUGGCAUAGUCAAUGCACCAAUCUGCCCGACAUCCCCUUGCCAUCUCUGAAGAAGCUUGUGCAGUGCCUCAGAGGACGCACAGCAGUGUUUGAUUCUCGGGAAAGGCUCACUGUUAUCAGAUUCCCUUCGGAAUUAUACUAAAAUGUAAUUGGAUAAACUGCAAUAGUUGUGUGAAGAUGACUCAAGACAGACAAGUGUGAAUACCAUGAUCUCCUCACCGGAAUAACUAAAAGCAGCAGCAGCAAGAUGUAAAUCAAGAAUAAAGCACAACGAAUGUAAUUCAAAUUAACAUGAAUUGGUUAAG